rnacentral:rRNA from 1 species
UACGGAGGGGGCUAGCGUUGUCCGGAAUUACUGGGCGUAAAGCGCACGUAGGCGGCUUUGUAAGUCCGCGGUGAAAGCCCGGGGCUCAACUCCGGAAUUGCCUUUAAGACUGCAUCGCUAGAAUUGUGGAGAGGUGAGUGGAGCUGCGAGUGUAGAGGUGAAAUUCGUAGAUAUUCGCAAGAACACCAGUGGCGAAGGCGGCUCACUGGCCCGGUACUGACGCUGAGGUGCGAAAGCGUGGGGAGCAAACAGG